GGGCCUAUAGCAUAACCUGGAUAGUGCGGCCGGCUUCGGACCGGCUGAUUUGGGUUCGAAUCCCAAUAGGCUCA
rnacentral:tRNA from 1 species